rnacentral:rRNA from 1 species
AUACGGAGGGCGCGAGCGUUAUUCGGAAUCAUUGGGCGUAAAGCGCGUGUAGGCGGCUGGGUAAGUCGGAUGUGAAAGCCCGGGGCUCAACUCCGGAAUUGCAUACGAAACUGCCUAGCUAGAGUCUCGGAGAGGAGGGCGGAAUUCCCGGUGUAGAGGUGAAAUUCGUAGAUAUCGGGAGGAACACCAGUGGCGAAGGCGGCCCUCUGGACGAUGACUGACGCUGAGACGCGAAAGCGUGGGGAGCAAACAGGAUUAGAAACCCCAGUAGUCC